AGACGAAAACCACAUCACACGCCAGCGAGACUGUGGCGGAACGACACACACUCAUGCAACGCUUCACAGAGGGUUGCAUGAGAACCUGGGCUCCAGCCUGACCCAGUCAGCCGGUUCUGGACACGCUGCCGGAGCAGAAUGGAAACGGCAACACAGAACCAGGCUCCCAAGGUGAGACUGGAUAUCCAGGAAGGAUGAAGGAAGUUUGGUGGUGUUCUGGGUCUCGGUUUCUUGGAAUGACUCAGCAUCACGUUGGGAGACAGCUCCUCAAGUUGAGUGACGGCAAUGGGUGCUUUUAACAGGACCGUUGGACAGGAGCCCUCAUCUUCAUCUGGUAAACACACACUCUCACCGUCAGGACAACAUGCUUUUCGAUAUCCAUGCUGAGCCUGAACAAAUGCUCACGGCCCGCGGACAGUCCCCGCCCAAACACACCCGCAACACCCCCACAGAGGAAGUGAGAUUAGCUUUCUGCUGCUGCUGUAAUUCACUCAUCCCUCUCCGCCUGAGGCCAAACGGCGCUGUGCCUGUACUUCA